rnacentral:tRNA from 1 species
GGUGAGAUGGCCGAGUUGGUUAUGGCGCCAGGUUAAGGUCCUGGUCACGAAAGUGGCGUGGGUGUAAGUAAUUACAAUUGAAUUCAUUAGUCUAGUUUACUAAUAUGUUUGUUCAGUCGAGUCCCACUCUCAUCA